rnacentral:rRNA from 1 species
CAGCAGCCACGGUAAUACGUAGGGUGCAAGCGUUAAUCGGAAUUACUGGGCGUAAAGCGUGCGCAGGCGGUUCUAUAAGACAGAUGUGAAAUCCCCGGGCUCAACCUGGGAACUGCAUUUGUGACUGUAGAGCUCGAGUACGGCAGAGGGGGAUGGAAUUCCGCGUGUAGCAGUGAAAUGCGUAGAUAUGCGGAGGAACACCGAUGGCGAAGGCAAUCCCCUGGGCCUGUACUGACGCUCAUGCACGAAAGCGUGGGGAGCAAACAGGAUUAGAUACCCCGGUAGUCCCUGUCUCUUAUAC